rnacentral:lncRNA from 1 species
CUGAGAAUUGAUGAUCGAAUGAAGAGUCGGAGCUCGAGCAUCACAUAGCCGUCAGCUAUGGUGGCCUGUGGGCGGAUGUUUCUCAGACCUAAGUUGUUGCCGCUGGACCGUGGCUACAUUCAUCCUAGCUUGGAGGAAAUGGUGCGGGAAGAUAUGCAUGUGCAGGGCGAAGAAGUGGACGAAGGCCGAAGUAGCAAUCUCUGCCUCCCUAUCGCUGCGUCCUGCUCCUCAAUAUGUCACCUUAGUCAUGGCCGCCUUAUCCCUCAUGCUGCUGAUUUGAAUCUGCCCUACUCUUCUUCUCCUAGACUGCUCGAGCGCUUCAGCGGGUGCCUUGCCGACGACAGGGAAGGAAGGACCAGAGUAAGUAUAAUAUGGAAGUUCCUGUUCAAAUUAGUAGAAUAUGCUUACCAGGGGUUAGAAUUUAUAGAUAUAUACCACAAUUGUCACUACAGAUUAAAUAUAAUGUGAAACUUCUUGUCAGUUUUCUUUGUAGUUAGUUUGCGACAAUCAAAACAUGAUCAUUUGAAUAUUUUGUUAUAACAAAUCUAUUAUAGCUAUUGUUGUGAAAGAAAAAUCCUUAAAAAAUCACCCAAUAGCAACCCGAGGAAGUUAAGAGACAUAAAUGAUCCAGAUAUGGUUCCAUUAUGCUCCCUCUGUUCGAUAAUAUAUGACGUUUUCUGGCAGUACACAAUGCCAAAAACAUCUUAUAUUAUGGGAGAGAAGCGAGUUUGUGAUUCUUUUGGUUAUUCUUGAUUCCACAUGCUUCAUUUGGGUGAAUAAUCCAUUGGCAUCCAAAUUUGGAGAUUAAUUCACCUAUGUAAUGUGCAUAAUCAAUGACACAUUUUUGCUAUGAUGAAUAUGUAAAUAAAUUUUGUACAAUUCCAUAAAUACACAGUUAAGCAUUUUUGUUGUAAAGAUAAUGUAGAUAAUUUUUUAUAGCUUUGCAAAUAAGAUUAACCUUGGUGUAUAAAUCCGAUCAGAGUAGAGGUAGCUAUGCAAUGGUCUUGCGUCACAUCAUUAGUCUAAGGCUCUAACCACAUUCAUGGAGAAUCUAACAUCCCAACUACGCAUAUCUGUUUGUUCCAGAAGCCACGAAAUUGAGGUACGCAGAAGAUGAACUAACCUGAGAACUGAUGAACCAAAGAAGAGUCGGAGGUCGAGCAUCACAUAGCUGUCAGCUAUGGUGGCUUGUAGGCGGAUGUGUCUCACACCUAAGUUUUUGCCGCUGGACCGUGGUUACAUUCAUCCUAGCUUGGAGGCAACGGUGUGGGUGGGUAUGCAUGUGCAAGGCGAAGAAGUGGACGAAGGCCAAAGAAGCAAUCUCUGCCUCCCUAUCGCUGCGUCCUGCUCCUCAAUAUGUCACCUUAGUCAUGGCCGCCUUAUCCCUCAUGCUGCUGAUUUGAAUCUGCCCUACUCUUCUUCUCCUAGACUGCUCGAGCGCUUCAGCGGGUGCCUUGCCGACGACAGGGAAGGAAGGACCAGAGUAAGUAUAAUAUGGAAGUUCCUGUUCAAAUUAGUAGAAUAUGCUUACCAGGGGUUAGAAUUUAUAGAUAUAUACCAAUUUGUCACUACAGAUUAUAUAUAAUAUGAAAGUUCUUGUCAGUUUUCUUUGUAGUUAGUUUGCGACAAUCACAACAUGAUCAUUUGAAUAUUUUGUUGUAACAAAUCUAUUAUAGCUAUUGUUGUGAAAGAAAAAUCCUUAAAAAAUCACCCAAUAGCAACCCGAGGAAGUUAAGAGACAUAAAUGAUCCAGAUAUGGUUCCAUUAUGCUCCCUCUGUUCGAUAAUAUAUGACGUUUUCUGGCAGUACACAAUGCCAAAAACGUCUUAUAUUAUGGGAGAGAAGCGAGUUUGUGAUUCUUUUGGUUAUUCUUGAUUCCACAUGCUUCAUUUGGGUGAAUAAUCCAUUGGCAUCCAAAUUUGGAGAUUAAUUCACCUAUGUAAUGUGCAUAAUCAAUGACACAUUUUUGCUAUGAUGAAUAUGUAAAUAAAUUUUGUACAAUUCCAUAAAUACACAGUUAAGCAUUUUUGUUGUAAAGAUAAUGUAGAUAAUUUUUUAUAGCUUUGCAAAUAAGAUUAACCUUGGUGUAUAAAUCCGAUCAGAGUAGAGGUAGCUAUGCAAUGGUCUUGCGACACAUCAUUAGUCUAAGGCUCUAACCACAUUCAUGGAGAAUCUAACAUCCCAACUACGCAUAUCUGUUUGUUCCAGAAGCCACGAAAUUGAGGUACGCAGAAGAUGAACAAACCUGAGAACUGAUGAUCCAAAGAAGAGUCGGAGCUCGAGCAUCACAUAGCUGUCAGCUAUGGUGGCUUGUAGGCGGAUGUGUUUCACACCUAAGUUUUUGCCGCUGGACCAUGGUUACGUUCAUCCUAGCUUGGAGGCAACGGUGUGGGUGGGUAUGCAUGUGCAAGGCGAAGAAGUGGACGAAGGCCGAAGAAGCAAUCUCUGCCUCCCUAUCGCUGCGUCCUGCUCCUCAAUAUGUCACCUUAGUCAUGGCCGCCUUAUCCCUCAUGCUGCUGAUUUGAAUCUGCCCUACUCUUCUUCUCCUAGACUGCUCGAGCGCUUCAGCGGGUGCCUUGCGGACGACAGGGAAGGAAGGACCAGAGUAAGUAUAAUAUGGAAGUUCCUGUUCAAAUUAGUAGAAUAUGCUUACCAGGGGUUAGAAUUUAUAGAUAUAUACCACAAUUUUCACUACAGAUUAAAUAUAAUAUGAAAGUUCUUGUCAGUUUUCUUUGUAGUUAGUUUGCGACAAUCAAAACAUGAUCAUUUGAAUAUUUUGUUGUAACAAAUCUAUUAUAGCUAUUGUUGUGAAAGAAAAAUCCUUAAAAAAUCACCCAAUAGCAACCCGAGGAAGUUAAGAGACAUAAAUGAUCCAGAUAUGGUUCCAUUAUGCUCCCUCUGUUCGAUAAUAUAUGACGUUUUCUGGCAGUACACAAUGCCAAAAACGUCUUAUAUUAUGGGACAGAAGCGAGUUUGUGAUUUUUUUGGUUAUUCUUGAUUCCACAUGCUUCAUUUGGGUGAAUAAUCCAUUGGCAUCCAAAUUUGGAGAUUAAUUCACCUAUGUAAUGUGCAUAAUCAAUGACACAUUUUUGCUAUGAUGAAUAUGUAAAUAAAUUUUGUACAAUUCCAUAAAUACACAGUUAAGCAUUUUUGUUGUAAAGAUAAUGUAGAUAAUUUUUUAUAGCUUUGCAAAUAAGAUUAACCUUGGUGUAUAAAUCCGAUCAGAGUAGAGGUAGCUAUGCAAUGGUCUUGCGUCACAUCAUUAGUCUAAAGCUCUAACCACAUUCAUGGAGAAUCUAACAUCCCAACUACGCAUAUCUGUUUGUUCCAGAAGCCACGAAAUUGAGGUACGCAGAAGAUGAACAAACCUGAGAACUGAUGAUCCAAAGAAGAGUCGGAGCUCGAGCAUCACAUAGCUGUCAGCUAUGGUGGCUUGUAGGCGGAUGUGUCUCACACCUAAGUUUUUGCCGCUGGACCGUGGUUACGUUCAUCCUAGCUUGGAGGCAACGGUGUGGGUGGGUAUGCAUGUGCAAGGCGAAGAAGUGGACGACGGCCGAAGAAGCAAUCUCUGCCUCCCUAUCGCUGCGUCCUGCUCCUCAAUAUGUCACCUUAGUCAUGGCCGCCUUAUCCCUCAUGCUGCUGAUUUGAAUCUGCCCUACUCUUCUUCUCCUAGACUGCUCGAGCGCUUCAGCGGGUGCCUUGCCGACGACAGGGAAGGAAGGACCAGAGUAAGUACAAUAUGGAAGUUCCUGUUCAAAUUAGUAGAAUAUGCUUACUAGGUGUUAGAAUUUAUAGAUAUAUACCACAAUUUUCACUACAGAUUAAAUAUAAUAUGAAAGUUCUUGUUAGUUUUCUUUGUAGUUAGUUUGCGACAAUCACAACAUGACCAUUUGAAUAUUUUGUUGUAACAAAUCUAUUAUAGCUAUUGUUGUGAAAGAAAAAUCCUUAAAAAAUCACCCAAUAGCAACCCGAGGAAGUUAAGAGACAUAAAUGAUCCAGAUAUGGUUCCAUUAUGCUCCCUCUGUUCGAUAAUAUAUGACGUUUUCUGGCAGUACACAAUGCCAAAAACGUCUUAUAUUAUGGGACAGAAGCGAGUUUGUGAUUAUUUUCGGUUAUUCUUGAUUCCACAUGCUUCAUUUGGGUGAAUAAUCCAUUGGCAUCCAAAUUUGGAGAUUAAUUCACCUAUGUAAUGUGCAUAAUCAAUGACACAUUUUUGCUAUGAUGAAUAUGUAAAUAAAUUUUGUACAAUUCCAUAAAUACAUAGUUAAGAAUUUUUGUUGUAAAGAUAAUGUAGAUAAUUUUUUAUAGCUUUGCAAAUAAGAUUAACCUUGGUGUAUAAAUCCGAUCAGAGUAGAGGUAGCUAUGCAAUGGUCUUGCGUCACAUCAUUAGUCUAAGGCUCUAACCACAUUCAUGGAGAAUCUAACAUCUCAACUACGCAUAUCUGUUUGUUGCAGAAGCCACGAAAUUGAGGUACGCAGAAGAUGAACAAACCUGAGAACUGAUGAUCCAAAGAAGAGUCGGAGCUCGAGCAUCACAUAGCUGUCAGCUACGGUGGAUUGUAGGCGGAUGUGUCUCAGACCUAUGUUUUUGCCGCUGGACCGUGGUUACGUUCAUCCUAGCUUGGAGGCAACGGUGUGGGUGGGUAUGCAUGUGCAAGGCGAAGAAGUGGACGAAGGCUGAAGAAGCAAUCUCUGCCUCCCUAUCGCUGCGUCCUGCUCCUCAAUAUGUCACCUUAGUCAUGGCCGCCUUAUCCCUCAUGCUGCUGAUUUGAAUCUGCCCUAAUCUUCUUCUCCUAGACUGCUCGAGCGCUUCAGCGGGUGCCUUGCCGACGACAGGGAAGGAAGGACCAGAGUAAGUAUAAUAUGGAAGUUCCUGUUCAAAUUAGUAGAAUAUGCUUACCAGGUGUUAGAAUUUAUAGAUAUAUACCACAAUUUUCACUACAGAUUAAAUAUAAUAUGAAAGUUCUUGUCAGUUUUCUUUGUAGUUAGUUUGCGACAAUCACAACAUGAUCAUUUGAAUAUUUUGUUGUAACAAAUCUAUUAUAGCUAUUGUUGUGAAAGAAAAAUCCUUAAAAAAUCACCCAAUAGCAACCCAAGGAAGUUAAGAGACAUAAAUGAUCAGAAUAUGGUUCCAUUAUGCUCCCUCUGUUCGAUAAUAUAUGACGUUUUCUGGCAGUACACAAUGCCAAAAACGUCUUAUAUUAUGGGACAGAAGCGAGUUUGUGAUUUUUUUGGUUAUUCUUGAUUCCACAUGCUUCAUUUGGGUGAAUAAUCCAUUGGCAUCCAAAUUUGGAGAUUAAUUCACCUAUGUAAUGUGCAUAAUCAAUGACACAUUUUUGCUAUGAUGAAUAUGUAAAUAAAUUUUGUACAAUUCCAUAAAUACACAGUUAAGCAUUUUUGUUGUAAAGAUAAUGUAGAUAAUUUUUUAUAGCUUUGCAAAUAAGAUUAACCUUGGUGUAUAAAUCCGAUCAGAGUAGAGGUAGCUAUGCAAUGGUCUUGCGUCACAUCAUUAGUCCAAGGCUCUAAGCACAUUCAUGGAGAAUCUAACAUCCCAACUACGCAUAUCUGUUUGUUCCAGAAGCCACGAAAUUGAGGUACGCAGAAGAUGAACAAACCUGAGAACUGAUGAUCCAAAGAAGAGUCGGAGCUCGAGCAUCACAUAGCUGUCAGCUAUGGUGGCUUGUAGGCGGAUGUGUCUCACACCUAAGUUUUUGCCGCUGGACCGUGGUUACGUUCAUCCUAGCUUGGAGGCAACGGUGUGGGUGGGUAUGCAUGUGCAAGGCGAAGAAGUGGACGAAGGCCGAAGAAGCAAUCUCUGCCUCCCUAUCGCUGCGUCCUGCUCCUCAAUAUGUCACCUUAGUCAUGGCCGCCUUAUCCCUCAUGCUGCUGAUUUGAAUCUGCCCUACUCUUCUUCUCCUAGACUGCUCGAGCGCUUCAGCGGGUGCCUUGCCGACGACAGGGAAGGAAGGACCAGAGUAAGUAUAAUAUGGAAGUUCCUGUUCAAAUUAGUAGAAUAUGCUUACUAGGUGUUAGAAUUUAUAGAUAUAUACCACAAUUUUCACUACAGAUUAAAUAUAAUAUGAAAGUUCUUGUUAGUUUUCUUUGUAGUUAGUUUGCGACAAUCACAACAUGACCAUUUGAAUAUUUUGUUGUAACAAAUCUAUUAUAGCUAUUGUUGUGAAAGAAAAAUCCUUAAAAAAUCACCCAAUAGCAACCCGAGGAAGUUAAGAGACAUAAAUGAUCCAGAUAUGGUUCCAUUAUGCUCCCUCUGUUCGAUAAUAUAUGACGUUUUCUGGCAGUACACAAUGCCAAAAACGUCUUAUAUUAUGGGACAGAAGCGAGUUUGUGAUUAUUUUCGGUUAUUCUUGAUUCCACAUGCUUCAUUUGGGUGAAUAAUCCAUUGGCAUCCAAAUUUGGAGAUUAAUUCACCUAUGUAAUGUGCAUAAUCAAUGACACAUUUUUGCUAUGAUGAAUAUGUAAAUAAAUUUUGUACAAUUCCAUAAAUACAUAGUUAAGAAUUUUUGUUGUAAAGAUAAUGUAGAUAAUUUUUUAUAGCUUUGCAAAUAAGAUUAACCUUGGUGUAUAAAUCCGAUCAGAGUAGAGGUAGCUAUGCAAUGGUCUUGCGUCACAUCAUUAGUCUAAGGCUCUAACCACAUUCAUGGAGAAUCUAACAUCUCAACUACGCAUAUCUGUUUGUUGCAGAAGCCACGAAAUUGAGGUACGCAGAAGAUGAACAAACCUGAGAACUGAUGAUCCAAAGAAGAGUCGGAGCUCGAGCAUCACAUAGCUGUCAGCUACGGUGGAUUGUAGGCGGAUGUGUCUCAGACCUAUGUUUUUGCCGCUGGACCGUGGUUACGUUCAUCCUAGCUUGGAGGCAACGGUGUGGGUGGGUAUGCAUGUGCAAGGCGAAGAAGUGGACGAAGGCUGAAGAAGCAAUCUCUGCCUCCCUAUCGCUGCGUCCUGCUCCUCAAUAUGUCACCUUAGUCAUGGCCGCCUUAUCCCUCAUGCUGCUGAUUUGAAUCUGCCCUAAUCUUCUUCUCCUAGACUGCUCGAGCGCUUCAGCGGGUGCCUUGCCGACGACAGGGAAGGAAGGACCAGAGUAAGUAUAAUAUGGAAGUUCCUGUUCAAAUUAGUAGAAUAUGCUUACCAGGUGUUAGAAUUUAUAGAUAUAUACCACAAUUUUCACUACAGAUUAAAUAUAAUAUGAAAGUUCUUGUCAGUUUUCUUUGUAGUUAGUUUGCGACAAUCACAACAUGAUCAUUUGAAUAUUUUGUUGUAACAAAUCUAUUAUAGCUAUUGUUGUGAAAGAAAAAUCCUUAAAAAAUCACCCAAUAGCAACCCAAGGAAGUUAAGAGACAUAAAUGAUCAGAAUAUGGUUCCAUUAUGCUCCCUCUGUUCGAUAAUAUAUGACGUUUUCUGGCAGUACACAAUGCCAAAAACGUCUUAUAUUAUGGGACAGAAGCGAGUUUGUGAUUUUUUUGGUUAUUCUUGAUUCCACAUGCUUCAUUUGGGUGAAUAAUCCAUUGGCAUCCAAAUUUGGAGAUUAAUUCACCUAUGUAAUGUGCAUAAUCAAUGACACAUUUUUGCUAUGAUGAAUAUCUAAAUAAAUUUUGUGCAAUUCCAUAAAUACACAGUUAAGCAUUUUUGUUGUAAAGAUAAUGUAGAUAAUUUUUUAUAGCUUUGCAAAUAAGAUUAACCUUGGUGUAUAAAUCCGAUCAGAGUAGAGGUAGCUAUGCAAUGGUCUUGCGUCACAUCAUUAGUCUAAGGCUCUAACCACAUUCAUGCAGAAUCUAACAUCCCAACUACGCAUAUCUGUUUGUUCCAGAAGCCAAGAAAUUGAGGUACGCAGAAGAUGAACAAUCCUGAGAAUUGAUGAUCGAAUGAAGAGUCGGAGCUCGAGCAUCACAUAGCCGUCAGCUAUGGUGGCUUGUGGGCGGAUGUUUCUCAGAACUAAGUUGUUGCCGCUGGACCGUGGUUACAUUCAUCCUAGCUUGGAGGAAAGGUGCGGGAAGAUAUGCAUGUGCAGGGCGAAGAAGUGGACGAAGGCCGAAGUAGCAAUCUCUGCCUCCCUAUCGCUGCGUCCUGCUCCUCAAUAUGUCACCUUAGUCAUGGCCGCCUUAUCCCUCAUGCUGCUGAUUUGAAUCUGCCCUACUCUUCUUCUCCUAGACUGCUCGAGCAGCGGGUGCCUUGCCGACGACAGGGAAGGAAGGACCAGAGUAAGUAUAAUAUGGAAGUUCCUGUUCAAAUUAGUAGAAUAUGCUUACCAGGGGUUAGAAUUUAUAGAUAUAUACCACAAUUUUCACUACAGAUUAAAUAUAAUAUGAAAGUUCUUGUCAGUUUUCUUUGUAGUUAGUUUGCGACAAUCACAACAUGAUCAUUUGAAUAUUUUGUUGUAACAAAUCUAUUAUAGCUAUUGUUGUGAAAGAAAAAUCCUUAAAAAAUCACCCAAUAGCAACCCGAGGAAGUUAAGAGACAUAAAUGAUCCAGAUAUGGUUCCAUUAUGCUCCCUCUGUUUGAUAAUAUAUGACGUUUUCUGGCAGUACACAAUGCCAAAAACGUCUUAUAUUAUGGGACAGAAGCGAGUUUGUGAUUCUUUUGGUUAUUCUUGAUUCCACAUGCUUCAUUUGGGUGAAUAAUCCAUUGGCAUCCAAAUUUGGAGAUUAAUUCACCUAUGUAAUGUGCAUAAUCAAUGACACAUUUUUGCUAUGAUGAAUAUGUAAAUAAAUUUUGUACAAUUCCAUAAAUACACAGUUAAGCAUUUUUGUUGUAAAGAUAAUGUAGAUAAUUUUUUAUAGCUUUGCAAAUAAGAUUAACCUUGGUGUAUAAAUCCGAUCAGAGUAGAGGUAGCUAUGCAAUGGUCUUGCGUCACAUCAUUAGUCUAAGGCUCUAACCACAUUCAUGGAGAAUCUAACAUCCCAACUACGCAUAUCUGUUUGUUCCAGAAGCCACGAAAUUGAGGUACGCAGAAGAUGAACAAACCUGAGAAUUGAUGAUCGAAUGAAGAGUCGGAGCUCGAGCAUCACAUAGNNNNNNNNNNNNNNNNNNNNNNNNNNNNNNNNNNNNNNNNNNNNNNNNNNNNNNNNNNNNNNNNNNNNNNNNNNNNNNNNNNNNNNNNNNNNNNNNNNNNAGUGGACGAAGGCUGAAGAAGCAAUCUCUGCCUCCCUAUCGCUGCGUCCUGCUCCUCAAUAUGUCACCUUAGUCAUGGCCGCCUUAUCCCUCAUGCUGCUGAUUUGAAUCUGCCCUACUCUUCUUCUCCUAGACUGCUCGAGCGCUUCAGCGGGUGCCUUGCCGACGACAGGGAAGGAAGGACCAGAGUAAGUAUAAUAUGGAAGUUCCUGUUCAAAUUAGUAGAAUAUGCUUACCAGGUGUUAGAAUUUAUAGAUAUAUACCACAAUUUUCACUACAGAUUAAAUAUAAUAUGAAAGUUCUUGUCAGUUUUCUUUGUAGUUAGUUUGCGACAAUCACAACAUGAUCAUUUGAAUAUUUUGUUGUAACAAAUCUAUUAUAGCUAUUGUUGUGAAAGAAAAAUCCUUAAAAAAUCACCCAAUAGCAACCCGAGGAAGUUAAGAGACAUAAAUGAUCCAGAUAUGGUUCCAUUAUGCUCCCUCUGUUUGAUAAUAUAUGAAGUUUUCUGCCAGUACACAAUGCCAAAAACGUCUUAUAUUAUGGGACAGAAGCGAGUUUGUGAUUUUUUUGGUUAUUCUAGAUUCCACAUGCUUCAUUUGGGUGAAUAAUCCAUUGGCAUCCAAAUUUGGAGAUUAAUUCACCUAUGUAAUGUGCAUAAUCAAUGACACAUUUUUGCUUUGAUGAAUAUGUAAAUAAAUUUUGUACAAUUCCAUAAAUACACAGUUAAGCAUUUUUGUUGUAAAGAUAAUGUAGAUAAUUUUUUAUAGCUUUGCAAAUAAGAUUAACCUUGGUGUAUAAAUCCGAUCAGAGUAGAGGUAGCUAUGCAAUGGUCUUGCGUCACAUCAUUAGUCUAAGGCUCUAACCACAUUCAUGGAGAAUCUAACAUCCCAACUACGCAUAUCUGUUUGUUCCAGAAGCCACGAAAUUGAGGUACGCAGAAGAUGAAGAAACCUGAGAAUUGAUGAUCGAAUGAAGAGUCGGAGCUCGAGCAUCACAUAGUCGUCAGCUAUGGUGGCUUGUGGGCGGAUGUUUCUCAGACCUAAGUUGUUGCCGCUGGACCGUGGUUACAUUCAUCCUAGCUUGGAGGAAAUGGUGCGGGAAGAUAUGCAUGUGCUGGGCGAAGAAGUGGACGAAGGCCGAAGUAGCAAUCUCUGCCUCCCUAUCGCUGCGUCCUGCUCCUCACUAUGUCACCUUAGUCAUUGCCGCCUUAUCCCUCAUGCUGCUGAUGUGAAUCUGCCCUACUCUUCUUCUCCUAGACUGCUCGAGCGCUUCAGCGGGUGCCUUGCCGACGACAGGGAAGGAAGGACCAGAGUAAGUAUAAUAUGGAAGUUCCUGUUCAAAUUAGUAGAAUAUGCUUACCAGGUGUUAGAAUUUAUAGAUAUAUACCACAAUUUUCACUACAGAUUAAAUAUAAUAUGAAAGUUCUUGUCAGUUUUCUUUGUAGUUAGUUUGCGAAAAUCACAACAUGAUCAUUUGAAUAUUUUGUUGUAACAAAUCUAUUAUAGCUAUUGUUGUGAAAGAAAAAGCCUUAAAAAAUCACCCAAUAGCAACCCGAGGAAGUUAAGAGACAUAAAUGAUCCAGAUAUGGUUCCAUUAUGCUCCCUCUGUUCGAUAAUAUAUGACGUUUUCUGGCAGUACACAAUGCCAAAAACGUCUUAUAUUAUGGGACAGAAGCGAGUUUGUGAUUCUUUUGGUUAUUCUUGAUUCCACAUGCUUCAUUUGGGUGAAUAAUCCAUUGGCAUCCAAAUUUGGAGAAUAAUUCACCUAUUUAAUGUGCAUAAUCAAUGACACAUUUUUGCUAUGAUGAAUAUGUAAAUAAAUUUUGUACAAUUCCAUAAAUACACAGUUAAGCGUUUUUGUUGUAAAGAUAAUGUAGAUAAUUUUUAUAGCUUUGCAAAUAAGAUUAACCUUGGUGUAUAAAUCGGAUCAGAGUAGAGGUAGCUAUGCAAUGGUCUUGCGUCACAUCAUUAGUCUAAGGCUCUAACCACAUUCAUGGAGAAUCUAACAUCCCAACUAUGCAUAUCUGUUUGUUCCGGAAGCCAAGAAAUUGAGGGACGCAGAAGAUGAACAAAGCUGAGAAUUGAUGAUCGAAUGAAGAGUCGGAGCUCGAGCAUCACAUAGCCGUCAGCUAUGGUGGCUUGUGGGCGGAUGUUUCUCAGACCUAAGUUGUUGCCGCUGGACCGUGGUUACAUUCAUCCUAGCUUGGAGGAAAUGGUGCGGGAAGAUAUGCAUGUGCAGGGCGAAGAAGUGGACGAAGGCCGAAGUAGCAAUCUCUGCCUCCCUAUCGCUGCGUCCUUCUCCUCAAUAUGUCACCUUAGUCAUGGCCGCCUUAUCCCUCAUGCUGCUGAUUUGAAUCUGCCCUACUCUUCUUCUCCUAGACUGCUCGAGCGCUUCAGCGGGUGCCUUCCCAACGACAGGGAAGGAAGGACCAGAGUAAGUAUAAUAUGGAAGUUCUUGUUCAAAUUAGUAGAAUAUGCUUACCAGGUGUUAGAAUUUAUAGAUAUAUACCACAAUUUUCACUACAGAUUAAAUAUAAUAUGAAAGUUCUUGUCAGUUUUCUUUGUAGUUAGUUUGCGACAAUCACAACAUGAUCAUUUGAAUAUUUUGUUGUAACAAAUCUAUUAUAGCUAUUGUUGUGAAAGAAAAAUCCUUAAAAAAUCACCCAAUAGCAACCCGAGGAAGUUAAGAGACAUAAAUGAUCCAGAUAUGGUUCCAUUAUGCUCCCUCUGUUCGAUAAUAUAUGACGUUUUCUGGCAGUACACAAUGCCAAAAACGUCUUAUAUUAUGGGACAGAAGCGAGUUUGUGAUUUUUUUGGUUAUUCUUGAUUCCACAUGCUUCAUUUGGGUGAAUAAUCCAUUGGCAUCCAAAUUUGGAGAUUAAUUCACCUAUGUAAUGUGCAUAAUCAAUGACACAUUUUUGCUAUGAUGAAUAUGUAAAUAAAUUUUGUACAAUUCCAUAAAUACACAGUUAAGCAUUUUUGUUGUAAAGAUAAUGUAGAUAAUUUUUUAUAGCUUUGCAAAUAAGAUUAACCUUGGUGUAUAAAUCCGAUCAGAGUAGACGUAGCUAUGGAAUGGUCUUGCGUCACAUCAUUAGUCUAAGGCUCUAACCACAUUCAUGGAGAAUCUAACAUCCCAACUACGCAUAUCUGUUUGUUCCAGAAGCCAAGAAAUUGAGGUACGCAGAAGAUGAACAAACCUGAGAAUUGAUGAUCGAAUGAAGAGUCGGAGCUCGAGCAUCACAUAGCCGUCAGCUAUGGUGGCUUGUGGGCGGAUGUUUCUCAGACCUAAGUUGUUGCCGCUGGACCGUGGUUACAUUCAUCCUAGCUUGGAGGAAAUGGUGCGGGAAGAUAUGCAUGUGCAGGGCGAAGAAGUGGACGAAGGCCGAAGUAGCAAUCUCUGCCUCCCUAUCGCUGCGUCCUGCUCCUCAAUAUGUCACCUUAGUCAUGGCCGCCUUAUCCCUCAUGCUGCUGAUUUGAAUCUGCCCUACUCUUCUUCUCCUAGACUGCUCGAGCGCUUCAGCGGGUGCCUUGCCGACGACAGGGAAGGAAGGACCAGAGUAAGUAUAAUAUGGAAGUUCCUAUUCAAAUUAGUAGAAUAUGCUUACCAGGUGUUA